AGAUUGAACGCUGGCGGAAUGCUUUACACAUGCAAGUCGAACGGCAGCACGGGACUCAGGCAACUGAGCCCUGGUGGCGAGUGGCGAACGGGUGAGUAACAUAUCGGAACGUACCCAGUCGUGGGGGAUAACUCUCCGAAAGGAGAGCUAAUACCGCAUACGUCCUGAGGGAGAAAGCGGGGGACCUGCAAGGGCCUCGCGCGAUUGGAGCGGCCGAUAUCGGAUUAGCUAGUUGGUGGGGUAAAGGCUCACCAAGGCGACGAUCCGUAGCGGGUCUGAGAGGACGACCCGCCACACUGGAACUGAGACACGGUCCAGACUCCUACGGGAGGCAGCAGUGGGGAAUUUUGGACAAUGGGGGCAACCCUGAUCCAGCCAUUCCGCGUGAGUGAAGAAGGCCUGGGUUGUAAG
rnacentral:rRNA from 1 species